rnacentral:rRNA from 1 species
CAGCCGCCGCGGGAAUACGAAGGGGGCUAGCGUUGCUCGGAAUUACUGGGCGUAAAGGGAGCGUAGGCGGAUCGUUAAGUUGGGGGUGAAAGCCCGGGGCUCAACCUCGGAAUUGCCUUCAAUACUGGCGAUCUUGAGUAUGGAAGAGGUAUGUAGAACUCCGAGUGUAGAGGUGAAAUUCGUAGAUAUUCGGAAGAACACCAGUGGCGAAGGCGACAUACUGGUCCAUUACUGACGCUGAGGCUCGAAAGCGUGGGGAGCAAACAGGAUUAGAUACCCCCGUAGUCCCUGUCUCUUAUAA